rnacentral:rRNA from 1 species
CCUACGGGAGUCUGCAGUGAGGACUAUUGGUCAAUGGGCGCGAGCCUGAACCAGCCAAGUAGCGUGAAGGAUGACUGCCCUACGGGUUGUAAACUUCUUUUAUAAAGGAAUAAAGUGAGGCACGUGUGCCUUUUUGUAUGUAUUUUAUGAAUAAGGAUCGGCUAAAUCCGUGCCAGCAGCCGCGGUAAUACGGAGGAUCCGAGCGUUAUCCGGAUUUAUUGGGUUUAAAGGGAGCGUAGAUGGGUUGUUAAGUCAGUUGUGAAGGUUUGCGGCUCAACCGUAAAAUUGCAAUUGAGACUGGCAGCCUUGAGUACAGUUGAGGUAGGCGGAAUUCGUGGUGUAGCGGUGAAAUGCUGAGAUAUCACGAAGAACUCCGAUUGCGAAGGCAGCCUACUAAACUGCCACUGACAUUGAUGCUCGAAAGUGUGGGUAUCAAACAGGAGUAGAUACCCCUGUAGUC